AACCGGGAAUACAUUGAGGUCAUCACCAGCAGCAUCAAGAAGAUCGCGGACUUUCUCAACUCCUUCGAUAUGUCUUGUCGUUCAAGACUUGCAACACUAAACGAGAAAUUGACAGCCCUCGAGCGGAGAAUAGAGUACAUUGAAGCACGGGUGACAAAAGGUGAGACCCUCACCUAGAACUAUGCCAUGCUGCUGCUGGGAAGUUGCUUUAUGGAACACAGGCCGACGUGGGAAAGGCCCCAGCAGCCUCAGCUCCUUCCUCUCUUCUUAAAGAGCAACAGGGCUUAUUCUUGUUUUUCUUUUUUCAAAAGUGUGGCCUUUGGGCUCUGCCAUGUACAUCGACGUGUGAUGUGGCAUGUGGGAAGAAGUCCAGGGGAACUCUUGGAACCAACAUUAGGCAUUUUACCUUUUGAGUAACGUUUUGUAGAACUGUUCAUCAUUGUAUUUGAAGCGCUCAGAGCCAGAUGCCUGGGACUCUUUGUUAAGGUCCUCUCCAUCUCUCUCUCUCAGACUUUCCUUACAGCUCUCAUUGCCUCUGCAUUGAUUCUAUAAACAGUCUUUGUCUCCUUUCCACCUUUGGCACGGGGGGUGGGAGGCAGUCCUGGCUGAGACACUUACGCCCCGGCAAGGUGGCCAUCAGAGAAUGUCGUUGCUAACCUACCAGUUUCUUGUCCUUUGGGGGAGGUCAAGGCCGGGCCUCCACUUGGCUUGAAGCGUCAUUUUCAAAAUUUUCUUUCUGUCACUUGGGGUAUCUUUGCCUCUCAUAUUUCCCUAAUAAACUCCUCAACUUUAUCUGAGUGCUGUGAUUAUGGUGGGGAGAGGAGCUAGAGAUGGGGCUCACCCAUUCCACAGAAAUCUGAUGUGUGGGAUGAGUAUUCUAACAUAAAACUUUCAGAUGUAUCUCUUUGAUCAAAGCCCAGAUCAAGCUUACCAGCUGGAGCCCUCCCCCCCACAUUAGCACUUUGAGCUGACUCAUAAUUCAUCUUGGGAAUCAUCUGGUCAUUCAGCAGAUGUUUAUCAGGUGCUUACUAUAUAGGCUCUAAUAAAAGAUAGGCAUUGAGUUAGGUGCGAAGCUUACAGUCUAUUGAAAUACCAGCAUCCACACAAUUUAACUGCAACCUAGGGCAGCCUGUGAGUUUUAUCUGGUAAAAGCUAAAUGUUUAUUUCUUUUGAAAAAGCAAAUAGUUUAAACAGAAGAGUCUAAAACUUUUCACUCUAGCAUCUAAAGCUUGCUAUAAACUUAUGCCACCCUACUUUUAAAGGUUUAUUUCUUAUAUAGAAGCUCCAUUUUAGUCACGUAGAAGUAGUCAUACUCCAUGCACACAAAUUUCCCCUGUUCAAGUCAUAUUUGCUGUUCUAAGGCUAACUCAAAUCACACCUCUUCCAGAAAGAUCUCCUGGACUCAACUCUUUCAUUCAGUACUGCCCUUUCCCUUUUCUGAGUCCCUCCCGUCCCACCCUGUCAUGCUGACAUUGCACUUGAACUCUGAAUGUUCCCUGACGUAGUACCUGGUACUACAUGGGAUAGCCCAUAUGUGCCCCUUGCCCUGUACUGCCCUGCUGGGUGCCUUGCUGAAGGCAGGUGGUCAGUAAACUGACUUGGAGAGCCCAAGCUUCUUCAUAUUGUCACAUCUCUUUAGAACCUCUGCUGAGGCCUUUGGAAGACCAUUUUUAAGUAGUACCUUUGUGUAAAAAUAGGAUUUUAUGGUGGAGACAAACUCAAUAUCCUUUCCUUUGAGAUAUGUUGCUUUAGAACAUUAUCAAACUCAUCAGUAGAAUGCUUUUAACAGUCACUUGAGUUCCUUAUUCAUAAUAGCUCAGGAUGAAGUAAGUGCUUCUAAAGUGCAAGUUUUAGGUCGUCUGGGGCUCCAUCUGUCAAUUUAGCAGACAUUUGUUGAGUUCCUGCUACAUGCAAGGACUACACCAUGAGAUUGUGAUAGGGGCAAAAGUGAUGGUAACCAAUAUAGGCACGAAAAAGCCUUCCUUUAAUGAAAUCACUUGUGAAAAUGUUCAAUAAAUUCCGUGUGGUUGCAUAGAUGUCAAUCUGUUAUUUAUUGAUAUCAAAGUAACAUUUCUAAAAAUUGUCCUAAGUAAUAGCAUGUCGCUAAUGAUAACCUGCUGGUUGUAAAGAGAAUAAAUGGUAACAUUUGAUGUGGGCAAUGAGUGAGCCCAGCCUCCUACUAGUUAGUAGUAACCCCUUCAUCACACCUGGCACUUUAAGGUAUCAGAGUACUUUACUGUGUUAUCACUCCCAUUAUAGAAUGAGGCUCUGGUUUGCACAAGAAUAUGUAACUGAUGUUAUCUAUACUUACUGAGUGUUAUCAUGUGCUAGAUGUGCUAAUUGCUUCAUGUGCUUUAUUUUGUGUAAUCAGGCCCUAAGGAGUAGGCAUUCUUAUUUCCCUGUAAGAGGUGAGGGACUAGUUUAGAGAGGCUAAAACUUGUCCAAAGUCCUACGAAGUAAGGGAAGGUAAGGAAUUAGAACCUAGAUCUACCUGGGUCAAGCAGUUCUAACCAUUCUUCUAUUCUCAGUGUGGCAUAUAACGAGAUCUAAAAUGUAUUGUCUCAUUCCUAAUCCAGUGCCCUUUCACUGUCCUCACCUGAGACACUGGAAGCAGAUACACUGCUCUGUUGAUUUUACACGCUCCCACACUUCUUUUUGUGAAGAAAGCCUCAUAGGUUGUCCUUGCUGUGUCUUGCAAACACUGUUUGCAUUCAUGUCUAUAUUGUCUAGUUUCGCUUCUCACAGCUUCCUUUCUCUGAAGGUUUAAUUGUAUGCUGUAUUUUCUGGAAGCCUUGCCUAAGGAAUUUAAUCAACUCUAGCUAUCUUUGGGUCUAGCCAAGAGAAGCAACUACAUCCCCCUUCUGAAAGGCCUUAUCUGGUCAUGCCCCAGAACUGGAAUUUUACUCUUAAGUCCUACACAUCUUUGCUCACAGGUCAUUGCAGUCCAUAGUGUUAGGCUAACCAACCAUUUAUUUUCCUCCUGAGGUCUUCAGUUUAUAGAAUAAUAAGGACAUUUGUCCUUACUGAGGAUGAUAAAAUUUAUUUUACAUUUUAAUCUACAUUUACUAAAUCAUUCUAGUUUCUUUUUUUAAAAACUGUAAUGUUUAAUCCUUAUAACAAAACUAGGGUGUUGACAGGGUAAUUAUUUUGACUUGGACUGUAAGAAGACUGAAUUUCAGAGGUGUUAAAAUUGCCCAGAUUUGCUAAAUUCAGAUGGUUCUCAGUCACCUCCUCAAAAUGAAAAUUUAGAUUGAGUUCAUUUUCUUCUGAGGUUAGACCUCAGAAAGUUAUCCACGUGGUGCCUCCUUUCCUUAUGAAAUCUUAAUGAUCUCUCUUUUUUUUUUUUUAAAUAAGAUUUUAUUUAUUCAAGAGAGACAGAGACAUAGGCAGAGGGAGGAAGCAGGCUUCCUGCAGGGAGCCUGAUGUGGGACUUGAUCCUAAGACUACAGGAUCACACUCUGAGCCAAAGAGAGACACUCAACUACUGAGCCACCCAGGCAUCCCAAAUCUUAAUGAUUUUUGAAGAAGGAUAAUCCUGAAGAACUUUCAUAUUUUCUAAUGUAAGUAGGAAAUGAGGUAAAUAUGACACAUCUCAGCCAUCCAUAGGAACCUUCAAGAGAAACUCUUUAUUCUUUUAUACUUGGAAGUGUUUUCUCCCUAUAAUUUGGUUUAAUCUUACGUUUAUUAAAAAACUAAAAAUAGAUUUGAGCCAGUGAGCUAUUAGGCAUAAAUGGAUUACAAAUCUCUUGAUAAUAAAGCAGUUUCCAGUCUCUUGACCCUAGAUUUCAGAAGCAGGAAGAAAUGGGGAACUGAUGUUUUUGGUAUUAGAAAUGUACCAAGUUCUGUUACUCUUGUUACUUACCUAGUACUUUGAGUUUACCACCUUUAUUUCAUGAGUAAAGCAUGUUUGUGAAUAGUAUUUGUUACUGUAGGCCAUGCUGAAUGGGACAGAAAGCCUAUUGUUCAUUUCUAGGUUCCUUCUCAGCAUUUGCACUCCGUUUCACACUGUUGGUUACGAGGAAAUAUUUGCCUAAACUUGGCUCUGGAGAAUGUGAGUUGGGACUUAGUCUGGCAGUUUGCAGACAGUUGGUGCCAUUAGUAACUGUAAGAAAAUACAGCAGCUUUCUAAAGACAGGUGUGGCUGUCAAGUAGGUUAUACAACAAAAUCAGAUUGAUUUAGGGCUCUCAGGUUUAUUUUGUUAAGAAAAGCUAACCUGUAUACUAAAUUUUCCAAAGGUUAGGAUUGGCUAGAAAUAAUACAACUUUAAGAUGAGAAAGAAUUUUAGGGAUCCAUCUAGUAUACUGUUGCUGUUUUAGAAAUGAAUAAACAAGCCUAGACAGGUUGUGUGAUAUAUCCAUCCACUUAACUGGUGGUCAAGCCAACACUAAAAACCAAGUCUCCUUAAUCCCAAUUAGUACAGAGUUAUUCGAGGACUCCCACAUUUCUGUUUUUUGUGCAAUGCUGGUCCUUUAUUAGCCUCUCCUUGGAUCUCAUUGACAACCUAACAGAGCAAAAGGGCAACUGUCAUGUUUAGCUAAGUGUUACCCAUUGGAAUAGGUGUUUGCAUUGAACAACUCCAGGGCAGUUGUUUGCUCUGAUUCUUUUGGUGCCUUUGGGUUUGUUGAGACUACCAAGGGUGAGGUGGGUAUUGUGCCUUAAUCUGCAUCUCCCACCCAUAGCAUUUAAAAAAUUAUUUUAUUGUGAAACAAGUUUCAGGCUCAUAGAAAAGUUGUAAAGUUGUAAGAAUAGUACAAAGAAUAUAUAUAUAUAUGUGUGUGUAUAUAUAUGUAUAUGUAUACAUAUAACAUUUUUGAAUUGAGAUUAUUUUAUCUGCAAAUUUGAACUCAUUUAAUGUGAUAAUCCCAGUGUGACUUGAAGAGUACACAUGUACACAGGUGCCUGACUGGCUCAGUCAUUGGGGAGCAUGUGACUCUUGAUUUCAGGGUUUUGAUUGAGUUUGAGCUCCACUUGGGUAUAGAGAUUACUUAAAAAUAAAAUCUUAAAAAA
rnacentral:lncRNA from 1 species